UGUCUUUGAUCAGUAUAGGAAAUAUUUUAUUAUGAAAAACACUGUUUGCUUGCUUGAAUUAAAUUGGAGAGCUUUAUCGCAAUAAAAAUAGCAUUGGAAAAAAAUAUUGCCUGGUGUAUUCCCAUGAAAAGAUGAUCCAGACACUUGGGUUACAACUACGGCCGUUUGAUUAUGCUUCGCACUCCGAUGAUGUUGGCAUCGAGUGGCGAAAAUGGAUGCGAUCGUUUGAAACGAUGGUCCGCGCAAGUCGAAUCGAAGAUGAAGAAUGGAAAAAAGACUUAUUGCUGCACUACGCCGGACCGAGUGUUCAACAAAUAUUCGAUUCGCUCCCUGAAGCCCCCGGAACUGAUAUGCGCGGCCCGUUGUUGAAUAUCGAACAUUACACUCCAAAUAUGACUGCCUAUGAAGAAGCCAGAGCUAAGUUAAACAAGUUUUUCUUGCCGAAAGAAAACUCCACCUACGAACGGCAUUUACUGCGAUAAAUGAAACAACUAGCUGGGGAGAGCAUUGACACUUUCACCAUCAGAUUGCGGCUUCAGGCGGAACGCUGCGGUUUCGGUGACAGGAUGGAAGAAAAUAUAAAGGACCAAAUAAUCCAGAAUUGUCAGUCUGAUGUGCUACGGCGUGAUUUGCUUAAACGCGGAGAUGCCAGUCUUGAGGAGAUAUUGAGCGUUGCAAAGAUUUUCGAGACUGUAGCCCACCAGGAAAAAUCUUUUGCGAGCGUAGGUGAAUCGAAAUCACACGUCAACGAUGUCUGUAAGAUUGAAGCAACAUCUUAUAAGAAGCGAAUGAAAUUCAGCGAGCAGAAACAGAUGGAAUGUCAUCGUUGCGGGUUCUUCGGUCAUUUCGCUAAAGACGACAAGUGUCCAGCGAAGGGAAAGCUGUGUAAUAAGUGCGAUGGCAGAGAUCAUGACGAAGACUGAUUUCAACGAAACUAUCAAGCGACUAAAUUCAAUUUUCGCCCGUUUUGGUCUUCCUUUAUCGAUUACUGCUGACAACGGUCCGCAAUUUUCCGGUGAAGAGUUCCGUGAGUUUUGCGAUAGCAACAAUAUAAAACUGAUCAGCACGACACCAUACUGGCCGCAACAAAAUGGCGAAGUCGAACGACAGAACCGAUCUCUUUUGAAGAGGCUGAUGAUUAGCCAAGCAGCAAAUGUCGAUUGGAUUGAAGAAUUAAACAAAUAUUUACUUAUGUAUCGCUCAUCUCCACACUCUACUACGAAAAAACCCCAUCGGAAAUGCUUCUUGGCUAUAACAUACGCGAUCGCCUUCAUCGAUUUAUCAGCCGAGAAAUGACGACGAUGAAACUGCAGAUCGAGAUAAAUACGUGAAGGAAAAAGGGAAGUUGUAUGCAGACGACAGACGGAAUGCUAAGCCAUAUCCUAUUCCCGAAGGUGACUACGUUUUGGUUAAGAAAAUGACAAAGAGGAAUAAACUGACGCCCAAUUUCGAGUCUAAAGUAACAAAGUUCUCAAAAGAAACGACGGGGAGGUCUUAGUGUCUGCAGAAGAAUCAGGAGUGAAGUACCGUAGACAUGUUUCUCAUUUGCAGCGAAUUCCUAAUGACGUCAACGCAGAUCCAACCGAAGCAUUCAUUAGCCCCAGAUAAAUCAGAUGAUUCAGUAGGCGACGAAGGUGGACAGUAUUCGGAGGAUUUGAUCGAGAAACAACCGGCUGGAACGAAACGUGUAAUCCAGAAACCAAGUUAUAUGCGAGACUAUGUACAAUCGGUACAAACUAGCCAGACAAUGCGAAAAAAAAUUAAAUAAAAAAGAAGUGAAUGUAGUAUCGUACCCUUGCUAAAUGUAAUACCUCUCUUAUGUAUAUAUACCUUGGUAUCGAGCUUCGAGAAUCGUAGGCUAUAUGCGUAUAUGUAAGCU